CCAACCGGGAUUGCCUUAGUAACGGCGAGUGAAGCGGCAAAAGCUCAAAUUUGAAAUCUGGUACCUUCGGUGCCCGAGUUGUAAUUUGGAGAGGGCAACUUUGGGGCCGUUCCUUGUCUAUGUUCCUUGGAACAGGACGUCAUAGAGGGUGAGAAUCCCGUGUGGCGAGGAGUGCGGUUCUUUGUAAAGUGCCUUCGAAGAGUCGAGUUGUUUGGGAAUGCAGCUCUAAGUGGGUGGUAAAUUCCAUCUAAAGCUAAAUAUUGGCGAGAGACCGAUAGCGAACAAGUACAGUGAUGGAAAGAUGAAAAGAACUUUGAAAAGAGAGUGAAAAAGUACGUGAAAUUGUUGAAAGGGAAGGGCAUUUGAUCAGACAUGGUGUUUUGUGCCCUCUGCUCCUUGUGGGUAGGGGAAUCUCGCAUUUCACUGGGCCAGCAUCAGUUUUGGUGGCAGGAUAAAUCCAUAGGAAUGUAGCUUGCCUCGGUAAGUAUUAUAGCCUGUGGGAAUACUGCCAGCUGGGACUGAGGACUGCGACGUAAGUCAAGGAUGCUGGCAUAAUGGUUAUAUGCCGCC
rnacentral:rRNA from 1 species